GUCACUUCACAGUAUAUGUAAAUCAAACCGUCGUGCUUGUAGUGUAUUUUGUGUGAUUUGUCCUGCAUAACUGAGCACCCCCAUCUGCCUGUAGGCAGGCAAAGGUUAAGGAAUGUUGUUUGUGAGACUGAGGCUGCUGCAUAAGUGAACUCAGGAACUUGAUUAGUUGGCAUCAGCAGGCCUCCAGGUCAGAAUUGGCCCUCUGGUCUGGAGGCCAGAAGCAGUAAAUCUUGCCUUUCAUUCCCUCAGGCCGGAGGCUGGGGCUGCCCCCUCCCCCCAACCCUCAAUGGAAUCUGGGACUGGAGACAAGCACACCUGGUCCAGCUCCUUGAAUAUGUAAAGACACGAUAACGUAGAAAUGCAGCUCGCUCCAAACUGCACGUAGGCAAACAAACGCUUAACUUCAGAUCCACCUCAUUUGCCCUAUAAAUACGGCCCUUAUAGGGAUGGUCUGGAUGGUCUGGGGAGGGGAGAACGCUCCACCCAGACCUCUCAAUCCCGACUCCACCGUGGCUGUCUCCAUGGGGCUUUCCCAACUGAUGAGGGCGGAUGUUGAAAUGGGGAUGCUGACUGGAUGUCACUUUAUCUUCAUUCAUGGAUCAUCAGCAUCACAAUUUCUCUUUAGAGGAUUUGUACUGGGCCAACAACUUCCUUUUUUUGCUAACAUGGCCCUGUAGGUACUACACUUAUUAUCACAUGACUCUCAGUGUGUGCAAAACUGAAGCCAUGGGCUUUGGGAAAUGGAUUUUGAGGACUUGAUAUUGAACAUCUGGUGUGAGUCCUGGAAUGCAGAUGACAGGGGGACUAUUACAGAGAACUCUACCAACACCAUCUUUUCUUCAUGACCCGGGACAAAACUCAUGGAGCUGCCUGCCAAUCAAGGGAGAGAUAUAUGCCAUGUAAUAAUACAGAUGAUGGUGGUGACGAUAGCUUAUAUUUAUUAAUAUCACUAAUAAUAUAAUAUCUUAUUUACUGUUGGUAUUUAAUAGGUAAUAGUGUGGGCACUGUUCUAAGUAGCUCAAGAAAGACUGUCACAAAGUGACAUGUGAAAAGGGCUCUGCUAAAAGAGCAGACCUUAUGUUCUUAGAGAAGGUUGCAGUGGGAAGAGAUUAUUUGGGGCUGGAACACCUGCAGAGGUUCCUUCCGGUUGCUGGGAUUCCACUUGGGCCUUCAAGGAUGGACAAGGUUUGGAAACUACCUGCAGCAGGAGCCUCUCUUUCCUGAUAUGUCAGAAGCUUUCCAAAGACAAGGCCUGCAUCUCCUCCCUCCCUCUCCUCUACUACUCUGCACUCUAAACUGCAUAUUUCUUGAAUGCAGAAAAUGUCUUGAUCCUUCCUUGGUGCCCCACCACAGCCCAGCAAAUGGGUGUUGCUGGGGCUCCUUGAUUUGAUUAGUAAGCAUGACUAGUUCGGGUUAAGACCAAACAACCUAUGACCACAUUCAUCAGGGUUGUGGUUUAAUAUUUCCCUGGCAUAAUCUGAACUUGGCCUUCUCCCAGGCCAGGACUCAGGAAGCACAUUUACAUGUGGAGGUGGAGGCAGUAUCUCUUCCUGUGGAAGCCUCUGCCGGAGAUCAGAGCAGGACAUAUUCAAGAGGGUACACAUUCAGAGGAAGAUCCAGGCCUUUGCAGAAGACACUACCGUGUCUCCUUAUGCUCUGUAGCAUCCAACCAUUCCCAAAUUUAGCAAGGCUCUUAAUUAUCUGCUUAUCCAAGCCCCAGUUUUUAAUAAUAGCUGCCCUGCAAAGUUGUUGGAAAAUUGAAGAUUAUAGAUAUAUUGUAGUGUAUAAUAAAUAUUAAUAAGUAAAAGUUACUGCA
rnacentral:lncRNA from 12 species